rnacentral:lncRNA from 1 species
GGGGAGGUGGAGAUGAAUACUUGUAUGGUUUCUUAGGUGUUGGUGGAGGUGAAGGGUACUUGUAUGGAGGUGGAGGUGACUUGUACUUGUAAUCUGGUGGAGGAGGAGACUUGUACUUGUACACUGGGGGUGGUGGAGAUGGGUACUUGUAAGGUGGUGGUGGAGGAGAUGGGUACUUGUAUGGUGGGGGUGGUGAUUUGUACUUGUAAAUUGGAGGUGGAGGAGAUGGGUAUUUGUAGGGCUUUUUAGGUGGUGGUGGAGGAGAAGGGUACUUGUAGGGUGGUGGUGGUGACUUGUAUUUGUAAACUGGUGGUGGUGGUGGUGAUGGGUAUUUGUAGGGCUUCUCAGGUGGUGGUGGUGGUGGGGAUUUGUACUUGUAAACUGGUGGUGGUGGUGAUUUAUAUUUGUAGGGUUUCUCUGGUGGUGGAGGAGAUGAAUAGUCGUACUUGUCAUCAGCUGAGGUUUGAGAUGGCAAGCUUAGAGAGACUAUUAUUGCCAAUACAAGAGUAAGUGUAGCAUAGGCCAUUAG